rnacentral:rRNA from 1 species
AAUAGAUACCCUCGGUAGUCCACGCCGUAAACGUUGGGCGCUAGAUGUGGGGACCAUUCCACGGUUUCCGUGUCGGCAGCUAACGCAUUAAGCGCCCCGCCUGGGGAGUACGGCCGCAAGGCUAAAACUCAAAGGAAUUGACGGGGGCCCGCACAAGCGGCGGAGCAUGCGGAUUAAUUCGAUGCAACGCGAAGAACCUUACCAAGGCUUGACAUAUACGAGAACGCUCUAGAAAUAGAGAACUCUUUGGACACUCGUAUACAGGUGGUGCACGGUUGUCGUCAGCUCGUGUCGUGAGAUGUUGGGUUAAGUCCCGCAACGAGCGCAACCCUCGUUCUAUGUUGCCAGCGGUUCGGCCGGGAACUCAUAGGAGACUGCCGGGGUCAACUCGGAGGAAGGUGGGGAUGACGUCAAAUCAUCAUGCCCCUUAUGUCUUGGGCUUCACGCAUGCUACAAUGGCCGGUACAAAGGGCUGCAAUACCGUAAGGUGGAGCGAAUCCCAAAAAGCCGGUCUCAGUUCGGAUUGAGGUCUGCAACUCGACCU